rnacentral:tRNA from 1 species
GCGGACGUGGCGAAAUUGGUAGACGCACGGGACUUAAAAUCCCCUGGCUGAAAAGCCGUGCGGGUUCGAGUCCCGCCGUCCGCA